rnacentral:misc_RNA from 1 species
GUACAGAUUAAUUGAAAUUAAGGAUAAUCAUCUCUUUCUACACCCUUCAAGCAAAAAGAGAGCAGCAAGCAAAUGCAGCAACCCAAGCUUGUUUCAAGGCCAGAACAGCAGUUGACUGGAUCGACAGGAACCCAAAAAGAGUUAAAAAGGAAAAUGCUGCUUAAUUUCCUUUGAAAUGUGAAGCCAAGUGAAGGAAAAUCCAACAGGUGUGAGGCCAGUAGUUCUGUUUUAUUUGCUUAAUUUUCCAUUUUCCUUUGCAAUUGUGAAGAUAAUUAGAUCCGUACAUCUUCUGGGCCUUGAUUUCUUUAAUUCUAACGAACCAUAAUCCUACUUCUGAACCAAACAAGUUUUCUCCUUGACGCUUAAUUUUCCUUUGCAAUUGAGAAGUUAAUUAAAGUUUCAUGUUAAUUUUGAACCCUAAUUUCAUUAAUUCUACCAAACCCUAACCCUAAUGUCAAACUAACCAAGUGUUCCCCUUGACAUCCCACAUCAAUAGUGCUCUAGGCAGUGUCUUUCAAUGCUUUUGAAUAUGUCUCACAGAUAUGAUAUACUGCUUUGAUUUUUAUAACGUGAAUUUUUGGAUGUCCAAUCCCAAAGCUCAUUUCAAGACAUGUCAACCAAAUUCAUUUAAAGUCCAUGUUCCAUCAAUUUUCCAUGAUUGCUUUUAAAAGAUGCCUAAUGCAUAUGUACCUACAAUUUGUUAGAUAUUGUUUUGUUGGAUUCUUCCAGCCUCAAAGCUAUCGCUCAAGGAUAAAGCAACAAUGUUGAUGGUUGAGCCAUUGUCCAAGCAUUCAUUAGCCCUCAGCACUCUUUCAACUUAUUAAAAGAAACAAAUAAGCAAAAAAAAUCUAAUUUUCCUUUAAACUCAUACAACUUUGAGAUUGGCAGAUGAAUUAAUACAAGCAUAAAAGGAGGCAGGUGCAUAUAGUUCCUUAUGAUAGAAUUGAAAUUUCAAGUAAAAGAACUAAAUAGUGUCAUAACCCAAGAAUUAUAGCAACUACAAGAAUUGAGUUUGGAAUAUGUGAAAAAGUCAUAAUCUAAAAUCAAUUUUGUAUUUAAUAUUUAAUGAAAAAGCUGAAGACCUAGUUAAUACCUUGUAACGAGAAGGCAAG